rnacentral:rRNA from 1 species
UUGCACGCUGGCGGCAUGCUUUACCCAUGCAAGUCGAACGGUAACAGGCCUUCGGGUGCUGACGAGUGGCGAACGGGUGAGUAAUGCAUCGGAACGUACCCAGAGGUGGGGGAUAACGCAGCGAAAGCUGUGCUAAUACCGCAUGUGAUCUGAGGAUGAAAGCGGGGGACCGAGCAGCAAUGUUUGGCCUCGCGCCUUUGGAGCGGCCGAUGUCGGAUUAGCUAGUUGGUGGGGUAAAGGCCUACCAAGGCGACGAUCCGUAGCUGGUCUGAGAGGACGACCAGCCACACUGGGACUGAGACACGGCCCAGACUCCUACGGGAGGCAGCAGUGGGGAAUUUUGGACAAUGGGCGCAAGCCUGAUCCAGCAAUGCCGCGUGCGGGAAGAAGGCCUUCGGGUUGUAAACCGCUUUUGGCAGGAACGAAACGGUGUCCGCUAAUACCGGGCGCUAAUGACGGUACCUGCAGAAUAAGCACCGGCUAACUACGUG